GGAAACUGAUGCCCUGACGGUGGAGAGGACCUCCCCGGGGUCACACACGUGACUCACCUCUGCAGACGGGCAUUGGCCGUGAUUCCUGCUGAGGCUGUCCCCAGAACUCACUUGGUAUUGUUGAGGACAUGUGAGAAACGCACCCCCUGCCCCAUUCACUGCUUAGGACUGCGUGGGUUUGAUGAGACAAUCAGCCCUCCCUGAGCUACUAUUUGUUUAUUUUUAGAAAGAUCAGAGGUAUUUAUACCUGGCAGGAUUGGCAGCCAACACUGUCAGGAACUUCUCUAUGUAGUAGACAUUCUAGAAUGUUCCCUUCUUCCUUUGUGCUCUAGUCUGGCCGCCCUGAUACUGAAGACACAGUCUGUAAACCGACACCAGAUCUAUAGGGCCUGUAGAGUCAGCCUAAUCAGCGGGGUACGAUGCCAGUGCUGGGGGACCCUAUAAAGUUGUCGACACUCUUCUGCUAUUCUGUGGCUCCCACACCAGAGACUUCUACUAGACGUCAGUAUUCCAGCUGUCAUUGUCUCAUGGGUUCCCUGCCAUCCGAUGACUUUCCCAGGGAAUAGUUAGGUCCCAUGAAGAUUUCUGUUCUCAUCUGGGAAAAAGUAGGGGAGAACAUUGUAGAGUCACACCCCUUCUGCGCCGCACUGCAUCAUGGGUUACACAGCAGGAAAAGAAGCUUCUGUGAGCCGUCUGCUGGCAGCUCCCUCAUGCUCAGUCACUUAGAUGGUGCCCAGAUGUGCCGACGACUCACUUCAAACACUGGUUUCAGAUGAACGGGUGCAGUAAGGAUGGAAAUAUUUUCAAGUCUACGAGGCUUUUCAGGGAGGGGAAGGAGAAGAUAAACUUCAUUCCAGAGUAAAAUUAAAGUGGCCUUUUUUGCUGAUUUUCUCUGUGUCUCUCCCUGGGUUGUUCCCCUUCAAAGGUACCAGUCCUGAAGCUAGUGGCCUCCAGGGGGCUGCAGCAGGAGAGCAGCUACCUUUAGUUUGCCACCGCCCCCCU
rnacentral:lncRNA from 1 species